GGGGAUUUAGCUCAGUGGUAGAGCGCUUGCCUAGUAAGUGCAAGGCCCUGGGUUCGGUCCCCAGCCCCU
rnacentral:tRNA from 1 species